rnacentral:rRNA from 1 species
UGGGGGAUAUUGCACAAUGGGCGAAAGCCUGAUGCAGCGACGCCGCGUGGGGGAUGAAGGCCUUCGGGUUGUAAACUUCUUUUGCUCUGAACAAGGCAUGCCUUUGGGGUGUGUUGAGUGUAGGGGUUGAUUAGCGCCGGCUAACUACGUGCCAGCAGCCGCGGUAAUACGUAGGGCGCGAGCGUUGUCCGGAAUUAUUGGGCGUAAAGGGCUUGUAGGUGGCUGGUUGCGUCUGUCGUGAAAGCUCAUGGCUUAACUGUGGGUUUGCGGUGGGUACGGGCUGGCUUGAGUGCAGUAGGGGAGGCUGGAAUUCCUGGUGUAGCGGUGGAAUGCGCAGAUAUCAGGGGGAAUACCGGUGGCGAAGGCGGGUCUCUGGGCUGUUACUGACGCUGAGGAGCGAAAGCGUGGGGAGCGAACAGG